GAUGAAGAACGCAGCGAAAUGCGAUAAGUAAUGUGAAUUGCAGAAUUCAGUGAAUCAUCGAAUCUUUGAACGCACAUUGCGCCCCUUGGUAUUCCGAGGGGCAUGCCUGUUCGAGCGUCAUUAUAACCCCUCAAGCUCAGCUUGGUGUUGGGGCCUGCUGCACUGGCAGCCCUUAAAAUCAGUGGCGGCGCCAUCUGGCUCUAAGCGUAGUAAUUCUUCUCGCUAUGGAGUCCUGGUGGAUGCUUGCCAUCAACCCCCAAUUUUUCUAUGGUUGACCUCGGAUCAGGUAGGGCUACCCGCUGAACUUAAGCAUAUCAAUAAGCGGAGGA
rnacentral:misc_RNA from 1 species